AUGGAUUUCUGCCUGUUCUAAGUCACUGUGAUUUAGAACACAGACAGCAAUAUAUGUUCUUUUUAGAACAUGUAGAUGCCUGUGAACUAAUGGCUGGUCUGAGAAUCGUUGAGGGGACCAAAUAGCAAAGGAUCAAAGUCCGAAUGAAAUAGGACCGCCUUCCUAACUCAAGCUUACUGUGACAUCACCCUGCACUAUUCCAUUUUUCAUUUUCCCACAAGAAUUAUCUACCCGAGCCCAUAAUGCUGAUCCCACCUUGGAGAUGCCAGUUCAACCACUGGAAUGUGAGUCCGAAAAAAGAGCAUAAAAGACCACUGGGCUGUAAGCUCCUUGAGGUCCACAGCCUUGCAUGAUCCUUCCUUGUGCUCCUUGACUGGGCAAGAGUGAAUAGGAAGACAUUGGUCGACAUAACAAGAAGAAUCUAGUAGAAUGCCCACUGAGAGAAUCUAGUAGAACCUUUUCCUUAUAAAGAAGAACGUGGAAAUAAAGAUCAUCCUUAUUACCCAAAAUUUCACCAUCUGCACUCAAAAGUCAACUACAAAUAUCUUUCAUUCUGCGAAUGUCGAACUCGCACUGUCCUAACAGAACCCUUGUGCCGAGUGAUAGCAAGCGUAGUUUUGAAACAGCCAAGGGUCUCAGCAUGGGAUCUCAGCCGCCUGGAUCUACUGCCACGACUUCUUUUCUUUCCAAAAAUGCAUUCUAUAUAUCCACAACUCUUCAACCCAUUCACAUUUGGAAGACCUUCUUCUGUAACUGCAGAGAUUUUGCCUGGUAGUCAGGUUAGGGGGACAGGAUUCGGUUGGCCUCCCAGAAAGUGUAACUUGGUUGCCAAACAGCAAGAGGAGAAAGGCCUCCCCCAAAACCCGGUGUUUGAGAAUGUGGAGAGUGGGCAGACAGAUGCCAUUCCCCAAAUCUUAGAAUUAAGGAAUAGCUGGUCAUUCUCCAACAUACACUUCUUAAAAGAAAUACGCAAUUGGCAAGAACAUGGAUAAAUGCGGUCACCUGAAAGGUUCAAAUGACUCCAACCAUCAGCCGUGAAGACAGUCUGCGAGCAUGAGCCGUCCAAAGAAAUCAUGCGUUGGUCAGAAGUGAGGAUUGGCCAAGUAAGUGUAGAUGAAGGAAGGCCACCAAGGAAAACGUUGGCAGAGCUCAUCUAAGGUGCUCUCUAGAGAAAAGUAAAUCUCAAUUCUUAGACCUUACGUACUUCCUAUACAAUCUUAUGGAAAGUCCAUCCUGAUGUCAUGUUGUAUAAAUACAGGAGAUAAGAAGAUAUUAUCUUAAUUGAAGUUCGCCUUCUCUACUCAGACUACCCAAACUAGAGGCUAACCUCACUAACUUUCAUUCAGCCGGAAGCAUUCGGGGCCUCAGAAGAAUUAUAACAGUAAGAAUGCAAAGACUAAGCUUCAAGCAAACUCAACUUUAAAUUGCUAAGCAUACGUUUGAAACCCAAGGACGAGACUUUGGUUUCAUCAGACAGGCCUGGCCCUGUGCUAAAUAAUAUUCAUAGAAGAAUAAAUAUCACCCAGAAACAGUUCUUCCUGUGAAUUCAGAUGAGAUGAAGAUCCCAUGGGCCAGGAUCAGCAUAUAUGUGAAAGGAAACAGGGCAGAUCCCCCUGAGUGUGCUAUGAAAGGAUCUACCCUCUAUCCCCAGACCUAGUUCUGGAGGACCACAGAACUCUCUAUUUGUUAAGGUAAUACUUGCUGCUAUCACCAAAUUUUGAAGGCUUACCGCAGUAGUAUUUUAUUUUUUAUUUUUUUAAUGCAAGUGUCCAAGCAGGUUGGUCUGAUCGGUAGGCAGCUGUUGUCCAUCUGAUGACUCAUGUACUCCAGCUCCUCCCAUCUUGGACUUCCUCAAUUCCUUGGAAACUUAGCAUCCAACAGGCAGAAGAAAAAAAGAGAAGGUGAGAAAGCCACCCCCACUUUUUAUAAACCCUGCUGUAGAAAUGGCAUACUUCACCCCUACUCUCAUUCAGUUGGCAAGAACUAUUUGAAUUACAUACCCGCAACUUGAUGCAAAAACUUGGAAAUACAGCCCCUGGCUACACAGUCUAGAUGCGGCAAUUAUUCCAUACUAUGGAAGGAGAAGCAUGCCAUUUUGGUGGAAAGCUGGCCAUUUCCGCCACUAAUUACCACGUAGGUUCGGGCUAUAGGACAAAAUCAACAUGUACCCCAUUUCCCAUCUGUGGCUCUGAAAAGUGGCAAGAUUUGAGGGGAUUCUGCACGCUAAAAUGAUGAAGGAGCAGUCAAGAAGAAAUGUAGCUUGAGUAGUCACAGAAGUUCAAAGACAUCCCCUACCCAGCACUCCCUCAUUGGUACCCUCCUUGGAAGUCUGCUGUGCCUCCAGAGCGGUAUGGGAGAGCACAGGAACUUUUCUUGUGUACCUGCAGAGCCUCUUCCAGAAGAGCACGACAGUAUUAGAAAGAAAGCUGGCAGAUGUGAAGAGGCCCCCGGAGUAGGAUGAAGGGAAGCCACGGAGUGCUACC